rnacentral:rRNA from 1 species
UUACUGGGCUUAAAGAGCUCGUAGGUGGUUAAGAAAGUUGGUGGUGAAAUCCCAAGGCUUAACCUUGGAACUGCCACCAAAACUUUUUAACUAGAGUAUGAUAGAGGUAAGUGGAAUUUCUAGUGUAGAGGUGAAAUUCGUAGAUAUUAGAAAGAACACCAAUUGCGAAGGCAGCUUUCUGGAUCAUUACUGACACUGAGGAGCGAAAGCAUGGGUAGCGAAGAGGAUUAGAUACCCUCGUAGUCCAUGCCGUAAACGAUGUGUGCUAGACGUUGGAAACAUAGUUUUCAGUGUCGCAGCAAAAGCGUUAAGCACACCGCCUGGGGAGUACGACCGCAAGGUUAAAACUCAAAUGAAUUGACGGGGACCCGCACAAGCAGUGGAGCAUGUGGUUUAAUUCGAAGAUACGCGCAGAACCUUACCAACACUUGACAUGUUCGUCGCGACUCUAAGAGAUUAGAGUCUUCGGUUCGGCCGGACGAAACACAGGUGCUGCAUGGCUGUCGUCAGCUCGUGUCGUGAGAUGUUGGGUUAAGUCCCGCAACGAGCGCAACCCUUACUUUUAGUUGCUACCAUUCAGUUGGGCACUCUAAAAGAACUGCCAGUGAUAAGCUGGAGGAAGGUGGGGAUGACGUCAAGUCCUCAUGGCCCUUAUGUGUUGGGCUACACACGUGCUACAAUGGUAUUUACAGUGGGAAGCAAAGAGGCGACUCCAAGCAAAUCCCCAAAAAGUACCUCAGUUCGGAUUGCACUCUGCAACUCGAGUGCAUGAAGCUGGAAUUGCUAGUAAUCGCGGAUCAGCGCGCCGCGGUGAAUACGUUCCCGGGUCUUGUACACACCGCCCGUCACACCAUGGAAGUUGGUUACACCUUAAGGCAAAG